rnacentral:rRNA from 1 species
AUGAUUCAAUCCUACAAAUUAAACGACCAACAGGGCAGCCCGGUGCAUGUAGCUCCUGCUUGCGCAGGGUCCAGGAAAGGGCCCGACCACUUUGGGUCUAUUGUACGCAACCUUUCCCUGCAAAAAUUCCUAAAUAUUCUAAUCCUUCAUAAUUCCUAUGAAAAUCCUUUGAAUAAAAAAGGCCCCCAAAGUAUUUCAUCACCGGCUUACUCCAGCCAAAGAUACACAAAAAAGGAAAGGCCGAGUGUCAAACGGAAACACACAUAUUAUACAUCUGAAAACAGAGUGCGCUGGACAUACCAUCUUCAGUUUUGA